rnacentral:rRNA from 1 species
AUAUUAAAAAUUUAAUACUUCUUAAAGGAACAAUUCAAAACUUUAAUUGAAUGGAAGUUUAAGGCAAAAACAGGUCUGUGAUGCCCUUCGAUGUUCUGGGCUGCACGCGCGUUACACUGAUAUGUUCAAUGAGUUUUUAAAUUUCCUAGUCUGAAAAGACGUGGUAAACUUAGAAAAAACAUAUCGUGAUUGGAAUAGUAUUUUGUAAUUAUCGCACUUGAACGAGGAAUUCCUAGUAGGGGCAAUUCAUCAAAUUGCCCCGAUUACGUCCCCGCCCUUUGUACACACCGCCCGUCGCUUCUACCGAUUGAAUAAUGCGAUGAGGAUUCAGGAUCGAUUAGAAUUAAUUGUUUGAAAGGAUAAUUAAGACUAGUUGCUAAUUUAUUCAAAUCUUAUUAUUUAGAGGAAGGAGAAGU